GGAUGGGUGGCAGAGUGGUCGAUUGCGCUCGCCUGGAAAGCGUGUAUACCGCAAGGUAUCGGGGGUUCGAAUCCCCCCCCAUCCGCCA
rnacentral:tRNA from 1 species